rnacentral:rRNA from 1 species
UACAGAGGGUGCGAGCGUUAAUCGGAAUUACUGGGCGUAAAGCGCGCGUAGGCGGCUUUGCAAGUCGGGUGUGAAAUCCCCAGGCUUAACCUGGGAACUGCAUUCGAGACUGCAUUGCUAGAGUAUGGGAGAGGGAAGUGGAAUUUCAGGUGUAGCGGUGAAAUGCGUAGAUAUCAGGAGGAACACCUGUGGCGAAAGCGGCUCACUGGACCAUAACUGACGCUGAUGCACGAAAGCUAGGGGAGCAAACAGG